AUCUUCAUCAAAAUAUAUGAACACUAACAAAAAUAUUUUUAAUUUUACAUUUCGUAGGAUUUAGUUUUCUGUAUUUUGGUCGGUUGGUUUUGAUUUAAUUUAUUGGGUAUCAAACCUGUGAAGAAUUUUGGAGAGCAAGCUUGAUCAGCUUUGUGGAGGCUCUUUGUGUUCUAAACCUGCUUGUAUGUUAGUAAGAGCAAAGUAGAUGGUGAGGUCUUGGGUUCAAGAUCCAGCCAAUGUAUGCGUAUCUUACUUAUAAAAAAAAUGUAGGUUAGCUCAGUCUUUAGGCUUAUCAUAGCAAUUUCUGUUGUAAUUUUGUACAAUAUCAGCUCUGUUCCAUUUCAAUUCCUUUUAUACAUUGUAUAGUUUCUUCUUAUAGUGUUAUAGUUUUUUCAAUGAUAUGAUUGUGAUUUAAAAUGGUAUGGAGAGCUGCAAAGAUAUGUUUGAUCUAAAUUCCAAAAGGAGCAGCCAGGAGCAGCUAUGCUAAUUGUUACUCCCUAUAAGAUGCAUUUAGAUUUUAUUUAUUCUGCCACUUCCCUUAUUGUUAUAUCACUGAAUUAUCCUCUAGACUUAUUAUAUUUGUAAAUGCUCUUGAUGAAUUUUUUUCAUAUUAGGGAAGUUAUUAAUUAUCUCUAAUUUGUUUUAAUUGGAACUUUUACAAUACAAAUAUGUAAGUACAUAUAUGUAAUUGCAAGUACAGAGCUACAGCCAUGCUUAGCAUGCCAUCAACCUCAUUGAAAUUUAUGUUGCAUAAAGGAUAUAAGAAAGUUGUGUUGUUUUCACCUUGCAAUGGCAAAGACAAGAUUUAGCAAAAUAAGUACAGCCUCCAAAGUUUUAUUCAGCAUAAAUAUAAUCAGGAUGAGAUUUUGAUUGGUUUCUCAUGUUAGGUGGUUUCUUUUACCCAAAUUUGUGUUGUGGACUUUUAUUAUUGCCCAUAAUCCAUCCUAUGAUCCUUGCUUGACACUUGAGGUUAGAAGAAAAGGAGAGAGCCCCCCUUUUUAAAAUUUUUUAUUUAUUCCGUAGCUAUUUUCAACCAGACAAGACUUGGUUUUUGGGCAUUAAUUGUAAGGCCAUGAAAGUUCUUAAAUUGAAGGAUUUACAUUGGCAACUGCUUAUUCUUAACUUAAAUUUGUUAAGAUU